rnacentral:tRNA from 1 species
UAUAUUUUAGUGUAUGGUGCACAAGAAUUUUUGAAGUUCAUUGGUAUAGUUCAAGUCUAUAAAAUGUAA